rnacentral:miRNA from 1 species
GUGUGUGUGUGUGUGUGUGUGUGUGUGUAAGGAGGGAAUAAUCUGCACACAUCCCUGCUUACUAAAUUCAGUCUUUUCUCUCUCUCUCUCUCUCUCUCUCUCUCACACACACACACACACACACACAGAGA